UACGGGGGGGGCAAGCGUUGUUCGGAAUUACUGGGCGUAAAGGGCGCGUAGGCGGUGCUCUAAGUCGGAUGUGAAAACUCUGGGCUCAACCCAGAGCCUGCAUCCGAAACUGGAGUGCUAGAGUUCUGGAGGGGGUAGCGGAAUUCCUGGUGUAGCGGUGAAAUGCGUAGAUAUCAGGAGGAACACCAGUGGCGAAGGCGGCUCACUGGCCCGGUACUGACGCUGAGGUGCGAAAGCGUGGGGAGCAAACAGG
rnacentral:rRNA from 1 species